rnacentral:misc_RNA from 1 species
AAGGAUCAUUACUGAGUGCGGGCUGCCUCCGGGCGCCCAACCUCCCACCCGUGAAUACCUAACACUGUUGCUUCGGCGGGGAACCCCCUCGGGGGCGAGCCGCCGGGGACUACUGAACUUCAUGCCUGAGAGUGAUGCAGUCUGAGUCUGAAUAUAAAAUCAGUCAAAACUUUCAACAAUGGAUCUCUUGGUUCCGGCAUCGAUGAAGAACGCAGCGAACUGCGAUAAGUAAUGUGAAUUGCAGAAUUCAGUGAAUCAUCGAGUCUUUGAACGCACAUUGCGCCCCCUGGCAUUCCGGGGGGCAUGCCUGUCCGAGCGUCAUUGCUGCCCAUCAAGCCCGGCUUGUGUGUUGGGUCGUCGUCCCCCCCCGGGGGACGGGCCCGAAAGGCAGCGGCGGCACCGUGUCCGGUCCUCGAGCGUAUGGGGCUUUGUCACCCGCUCGACUAGGGCCGGCCGGGCGCCAGCCGACGUCUCCAACCAUUUUUCUUCAGGUUGACCUCGGAUCAGGUAGGGAUACCCGCUGAACUUAA